GGAUUGUAAACCCCUUUUCUCAGGGAAGAAGUUCUGGCGGGACCUGAGGAAUCAGCCUCGGGUAACUCCGUGCCAGCAGCCGCGGUAAUACGGGGGAGGCAAGCGUUUUCCGGAAUUAUUGGGCGUAAAGCGUCCGCAGGUGGUGGGCCAAGUCUGCCGUCAAAUCAGGUUGGCUUACGACCUAAAGGCGGUGGAAACUGGCCCACUAGAGGGCAGUAGGGGUAGCAGGAAUUCCCGGGGUAGCGGUGAAAUGCGUAAAAAUUGGGAAAAACACCGGUGGCGAAAGCGUUCUACUGGGCUGCAUCUGACACUCAGGGACGAAAGCUAGGGGAACGAAAGGGAUUAAAUACCCCUGUAAUCA
rnacentral:rRNA from 1 species